GAAAAUCCCAAUGAUACGUCUUCCUUCUUUUCCUAAUGCUAUAAUUGAUGCUCAAGCAUGAUUUUUCAUAUUUGAAGCCCAAUUUUCUGAUUUUGAAAAUUUUCCCUUUUUCAAAUUUCCUUCAUAGUAACUAACCUAUGAUUUGUCCUACAUCAGAAGACGAUGAGGUCAUUUGAGUUAGAAAAGACCAAUUCCCAAAUUACGUAGAACAGAGA
rnacentral:lncRNA from 1 species